AUGGGUAGGAAACGCAAAAUACCAAAAAAAUUAGUUGUACCUACUGAACUAAUGGUUGAAGAUCCACUCAAAAUAUAUCACACUCCUGAAGCUUAUUACUUGGAUCAUCUUCGAUCCCUAUGUGCUCGUGCUGAAACCCCAACUAGCUUAGUUGAGGUCAAAUCUUUAGAUGAGCAAGCUUGCUAUGUGCGACACCGCAUAUCUAAAAAGGGAGACAUUUACUGGAUCAAAUUCAUCGUUUGCAAUGCUAUGCUUGAAAUUUAUGCGAAACAUAUGAUUAUACCUGUUGUUCUGAAGACCCAAAGAAAUACCUUCCCUACUAAUGUUUCUAUAGUGAUAAUGGAAUCGUAUCUUCUUAUGCUAAGGGUGUUUAUAAUUACUAUGAUGUUCAACAAAUUGAAGAAUUUGUUGCUUUUAAGGGUGCUUAUGAAAUUGCUUCAUUGA
rnacentral:rRNA from 1 species